rnacentral:rRNA from 1 species
UCGAGCAGGGUCGAAAGACGGACUUAGUGAUCCGGUGGUUCCGCAUGGAAGGGCCAUCGCUCAACGGAUAAAAGCUACCCCGGGGAUAACAGGCUUAUCUCCCCCAAGAGUUCACAUCGACGGGGAGGUUUGGCACCUCGAUGUCGGCUCAUCGCAUCCUGGGGCUGUAGUCGGUCCCAAGGGUUGGGCUGUUCGCCCAUUAAAGCGGUACGCGAGCUGGGUUCAGAACGUCGUGAGACAGUUCGGUCCCUAUCCGUCGUGGGCGUAGGAAAUUUGAGAGGAGCUGUCCUUAGUACGAGAGGACCGGGAUGGACAUACCUCUGGUGUACCAGUUGUCGUGCCAACGGCAUAGCUGGGUAGCUAUGUGUGGACGGGAUAAGUGCUGAAAGCAUCUAAGCAUGAAGCCCCCCUCAAGAUGAGAUUUCCCAACUUCGGUUAUAAGAUCCCUCAAAGAUGAUGAGGUUAAUAGGUUC